GAUUUAUUUUUGUGAACGUUUUCAAUGUUAUUUCUUUAAAGUAUUUGAAUAACGCUGAACGCAAGAACAAGUUGUGUUUUCUUCAAAUAAAUUACGUUCCGUUAUUUUUUUAUUCAGUAUUUUAUUUAAAAUAUUCGAAAGGUUAUUGUUAAAAUUAUCAUUGUAAAAAUUAAGCUUCCGCUAAAACAUAUUCUCCUAUGACUAAACCACCGAUUAGUUAAGUAUAGUAAGUAGCGUUCCGAUCCACAAGGGGUCGGAGAGUUACAGUUACAAUGUAUGGCAAAUUAAGGGAAAAUCAAGAAAUCCUAAAGUUUGAAAAGUAAACUUUACAAAAUUAAAAGAUCUAACCCACCGAAUUUCAUAAAACUCAAGAGUCUUUCAGUUAUGCUUAAUAGCAAUUCCAAAAAUUCAUAUCUGCAACAAAUCGACUUUUCCUUGAAGAUCCAGGUUUUUUUUUCUCAAUUCUUACUCUGGUACCACUGAAAAGACCCAAGCACUGGAUAUUAAUCACAAUAUACGUUCAAUCAAUAACAAACAGAAAGUAAAAGUUUUAGAAAUUAAAAGAUUGAAUUCAUCAGAUUUUUCGAUCAUAGCCCAGAGGUUCAGUGACCUUUUAACACCUAGUCCCAUGCUAAGUAUCCACUUAAGAAUAGAGAUAGCUCGGUUGCACUAAAAAUGCCUUAAAAUUGACAACGAAGGUUACAAAUGUUCUGCCAACACAGGAAUAUAGAAUAAGAGACUUAUCUCUUCAUAAGAACCUAACAGAUCUGACUCGAAUCACACAAGAAUUAACAGAUUUCCUUUACAGACUCAAAACAUAAGAACCCUCUCGUUCUUACAGAUUUUCGCUCAAGAAAAUCGAAGUAUUCUAAGGCUAAAAUAUCAAAAUCAUCACUUUGAAUGAGAAGUUCAAACUGUAAUGAAAGAUUAGAAAACCCUAACCAUAGAGAUGAAAGGAAGUCUCUCAAACAUCUCUCAGAAAGUGAAAAGCCAAAGGAAGAAUGAUAGUCUCUCA
rnacentral:lncRNA from 1 species